rnacentral:rRNA from 1 species
CCUACGGGUGGCAGCAGUAGGGAAUCUUUCACAAUGGGCGAAAGCCUGAUGGAGCAACGCCGCGUGCAGGAUGAAGGCCUUCGGGUUGUAAACUGCUUUUAUAAGCGAGAAAUAUUAGGGUAACUGAGGAAUAAGGAUCGGCUAACUACGUGCCAGCAGCCGCGGUCAUACGUAGGUUCCGAGCAUGAGCCGGAGUGACUGGGUGUAAAGAGUUGCGUAGGUGGCAUAAUAAGUAGCUAGUGAAAUCUGGUGGCUCAACCAUUCAGACUAUUAGCUAAACUGUUAAGCUCGAGACCGUGAGGGUUAACUGGAAUUGCUAGUGUAGGAGUGAAAUCCGUAGAUAUUAGAAGGAACACCGAUAGCGUCGGCAGGUUGCUGGGACGGGUCUGACACUCAGGCACGAAAGCGUAGGGAGCAAACGGGAUUAGAUACCCCAGUAGUC